rnacentral:rRNA from 1 species
AUGCCCCCUGCCGUGCUCCGUGGGCUCGAUUCCGUCGAGGCUGGAGUGAAUCCUGACAUGGUCUCAGAAUUAGAGAAAGCGCGGCUUCCCUUCAUGGGCAGGGAUGAAAGCGGGAGACGGAUGGAGAUUAUUGAGCUACCAACUCAUAAGCUUUUCGUGGGCACGCAAUUUCAUCCUGAAUUUAACUCCAGGCCUGGAAAGCCAUCACCACUUUUCUUAGGUAAAACAUCCUCCAAACUACACUUCACUCAUAUGCUUUAUUUCCGGCAGGGAAAGCUGCACAUCGUACUAGUGAGCUACGAGUACAAGAUAACGUACAUCCUCAAAACUAGCAGAGCUACCGUAUUGCCCGACGUCGGCGUCCCACAAUGA